AAGAUCAUAAAACGAGCACUAAGUGGGCGGGCCGCUGUGGAAGGGCUAGGGUUUUGGAGUUGGCCCUUCACUGCUCUUCCCUCUGCUAUAAAUCGAGCGCAUCGCCGGCUAUGCGUUCUUCACUUCCCUCGUCUGCUAUUUCUGGCACGUUCCAUGGCUGAUGAACACAAUGGUGAAUGUAGCACUGCAGCUCUGGUACGGCCGUGGGAUCUUCUUGGGAAAGCUUGGGGCUCCCCUCUGAGUUAAACUGUUUGCAUGGAUAUCGUGUAAGAAUGUCAUGCCAACAACCAAUAACUUGGCGAAAAGAAGGGUAGCCAUAUUGAUCACUUUCGCGAAGGGAAGAGGGAAGGUGUUGCUCACGUUCUAUGUCUUUUGCUCAUGUUCCAGACUGCCUUGGGCUUUAUCAGAGCUUCCUUGGGAACUCUGGGAAGGGGAGUGUGAGGAGUGGAUGCGGGCAGAGUUUGAGGAGCUGGAUGAGGAGUUUGCAUGCUUCCCAAUGGUUUGGUGGAUGAUAUGGAAUAACAGGAACUCGAGGUUAUUGGAGGGUACGAGCGAGGAUCCCUCCAGGCUACUCCUGAGGACAAGACUAUGGUUGUUGCUUUCACUGAAGCCCACUUAAAAGGCGAUGAGGUUGGUGGCACGCAGAUUCUGGGAAAAUGGGUUAAACCAUCGGAUGGUAAGCUUAAAAUUAAUUUUGAUGUUGCAGUUGACGAGGAAUGGAAUGCGGUAGGGCUGGUAGAUGUUUGCUGCGUUGGUUGGAAAUCAAACAACUUUUCCCCGGAGUUAACGAGCCGGUCGUGCGGUGGUGUUGGCAACCAGGGUUGCAGCAAUUAGUGUAUAAAUAUAAACUGAUAACUUUAAAAGUGUCAAUAGAUAUGUGGUAUGCAUCUGUCAGCUAAUGUUUUUUAUGGUUGGUUUUGCUACUAUUAAAAUUAUUAAAACUAAAAAUUCUUAUCA